rnacentral:rRNA from 1 species
AGCAGCCGCGGUAAUUCCAGCUCCAAUAGCGUAUAUUAAAGUUGUUGCAGUUAAAAAGCUCGUAGUUGAAUUUCGGGGUUAGCAGGUCGGUCGUGCCAUCGGUAUGAACUGGUCUCGCUGAUCCCUCCCUCUUGACGAACUGUGAUGCCAUUAAUUUGGUGUCGCAGGGAAUCAGGACUGUUACUUUGAAAAAAUUAGAGUGUUUAAAGCAGGCUCACGCUUGAAUACAUUAGCAUGGAAUAAUGAAAUAGGACGUUUGAUCCUAUUUUGUUGGCUUCUAGGAUUGACGUAAUGAUUAAUAGGGAUAGUUGGGGGCAUUAGUAUUCAAUUGUCAGAGGUGAAAUUCUUGGAUUUAUUGAAGACUAACUACUGCGAAAGCAUUUGCCAAGGAUGUUUUCAUUAAUCAAGAACGAAAGUUAGGGGAUCGAAGACGAUCAGAUACCGUCGUAGUCUUAACCAUAAACUAUGCCGACUAGGGAUCGGAUGAUGUUAAUUUUUUAAUGACUCA